CAAUCUCCUCUCCCCCUAUUCCCAUAUUCUCCCAUUCCGUUUCGUCCCGUCGUCAUCAUCUGUCUUGGCUUGACUUGGCUUGGCUUAUUUGGCUCUUCAGUCUUCACGCACGCGUAUUAUCCAACUCUUCUUGUGUAUAUAGUCGUAUAUCUAUGUCAACAUUUUCUCGCUUUUUUGUGCAGCUUGUGUACACCAUCACGAUGCGCGUUCUGUCCGGCAACCGCGAACGCUUAGGGGCCGAGAAAAAAAUGACGAUGAACGCAGCAAUCUCAUCCGUUGCUUGAUGGCGUUCGUUCAACUAGGGUUAUCAUGGUGGUGGUUUAUGUGUUUAGAUCUGAUUACCUCGGCUCCCAGCGCGCUCAUCUCGCAAUGUUCCCGUUGUCGUCGAUUCUCGGUGGCCGAUAUUUUUGUAACCCGCACUCUAUUUUUGUUUUGUGCUUGUUUUCUUUUUUUUUCUUUUUUUGUGUAGUAUAUUUAUUUAUUCAUUUUCGUUUUAGGUUUAAUAUUUUAAUAUUCCGUUUUUUUUUAUUAUUAUGUCUGAGUGUCUGUACAACAGUGUGUCUGUGUUCAUUUAGGUUUUGCGUUUCAAAUGCAAAAUGAAGAAAUUGAUGCCUUA